rnacentral:misc_RNA from 1 species
AAGAGACGUUGCCCUUCGGGGUAUACCUCCCACCCUUUGUUUAUUAUACCUUCGUUGCUUUGGCGGGCCCGUCCUCGGACCACCGGCUUCUGCUGGUCAGUGCCCGCCAGAGGACCUAAAACUCUGUUCGUUAAUAUUGUCUGAGUACUAUAUAAUAGUUA